AUUGAACGCUGGCGGCAGGCCUAACACAUGCAAGUCGAGCGAGCGGCGGACCGGUGAGUAAUGUAUGGGGAACUGCCCGAUAGAGGGGUAUAACUACUGGAAACGGUGGCUAAUACCGCAUACUAUCGGAUGCACCCAUAUGGGAUUAGCUAGUAGGUGGGGUAAAGGCUAACCUAGGCGACGAGCUCUAGCUGGUCUGAGCGGAUGAUCAGCCACACUGGGACUGAGACACGGCCCAGAAUCCUACGGGAGGCAGCAGUGGAGAAUAUUGCACAAUGGGCGCAAGCCUGAUGCAGCCAUGCCGCGUGUAUGAAGAAGGCCUUAGGGUUGUAAAGUACUUUCAGCGGGGAGGCGUUACCCGCAGAAGAAGCACCGGCUAACUCCGUGCCAGCAGCCGCGGUAAUAC
rnacentral:rRNA from 1 species